AUCCAGAUGAUGAGUCCUAAAUGGGACGAAAUACACAUCCCGGAU
rnacentral:hammerhead_ribozyme from 1 species